GCCGCUUUAGCUCAGUUGGUAGAGCACCCGCCUUGUAAGCGGUAGGUCGUCAGUUCGAAUCCGACAAGCGGCA
rfam:Limnohabitans planktonicus II-D5 scaffold00005, whole genome shotgun sequence.